GCGGGUGUAGUUCAAUGGUAGAACUUCAGCCUUCCAAGCUGACGGCGUGGGUUCGAUUCCCAUCACCCGCUCCA
rnacentral:tRNA from 1 species